AUUGUUAUUGUUGACAUUAGUGACGUCACAAACCACGUGCUCACCACAUGUGAGGGGACUCGUGGAUCAAUAAUAAUAAAAAUAAAAAUUAUUAUUAUUAUUGAUCCACGAAUCCCUUGUCGGAAUUCCCUCAAUCCUCGUCGCUACUCAAGUUCAAGGCCCAGAAAGCGGUGACGACGUAACACCACAAAGACCAUCCCUCCUCCUCACUUCCUUCCAGCUCCAGGCCCCCGAAGGAGAGGGGCAGCGACACAGCAGGGGUGGAUCGGUGGUGGUGGACGUGUGGGCUGAUGGGGUGUGUGGUGUCAUUCUUGAGGUCACUGCGAUCCUACCACGGGUCACAUCUCACUCCACGACAGCUAGAACGACAGCGACGGCAGCGGUCACAAACCUCACAGAGCCGUCCCACACGCCCUCCCACACCUCCCAGUUCCCCUGAAGACGACGAGCGCCGCGCCCUCAGCUUCGAUGGCGGCCACGCCUCAUACAGCACCCCCACACCCAUCUCACCACCCACGCCCAAGUCCAAGCCCAAGGCACCCAAACUCUUCAAGGGCAAAAGAUAAAGGGUGACCUGCAAAGUGUGACAGGUUGAUUUGUAAACUGCAACUUGCCGAUCUGUAAUGCAUGAUUUGCAAUAAGCCGUCACAAGAUAUCGUUGCUACAUGGCCGAUAUUGUGCAAUUGUUCAGCCUGUUCAGGCUGGACAUUGAGGCCAAUGCAUCGAAAACGUCAAUAUUACAGUGCUACAAUUUUUCUAUUACCUCACAUUUUUAACAAAUUGGUUGAUUCCGUAAAAAAUGCAACGUAUUAGGUUGCCAUCACUAAUAGAGGCAACUAUUAGGACGCAGAGGACACAGCUCGUUCUCUCGAUUGGCUUAAAAAUAGAAAGCUAUAGCAAGAGUCAUUAGGAAUCAAGCUACAAUAUAAAAAAACAAAAAAUGGAGUACUGUAGUUAGGCAAGUGUAUGUGGAAUUUUAUUACUCAUUUUAAAUUAAAUUGUAGGUUAUUUGCUUCUGUAUAAUGAGACAGUCUGACAUAUGUAUCAGCUGUAGCUGAACGAAGACCUUCCAUUAUAGGUUAGAACUUUCGCAAACUCAAAUUUCCCAAAAGAAUCCCUUUUUAUUGAAGACAAAUUUUCUAACACCGUCCAAACGUAAAAUUAGGCCAUUUAUUUUUUUUAGCGUUGAUGAUUCAUGUCAAGUGGCUCAAUAAAUCAUGAUUUUGUUUAAUAUGAUUAAUAUACUGUAGUCAUAAAUGACACAAUUUACUUGGACCGGUGUUCCGCCUCUCUAUGAGAUACAUUCGACCAUAGAACCAUGAGGCUGCUGUGCUAUAUCACUCCUUGAAAGUGAGCUGGCUCUGUGGUAAACUGCCCUACAGAACAUUGAGGCUGUGGUAUACUGCCCCACAGAAAUGUGACUAUGGUGUAUUGAUCUAGAGAACAGUGGUGUGCUGUGGUAUACUACCCCAAUGGUAUACUCCAAAGAACAGUAUGUCUGAGAUCUGCUCCAGAGAGCAUAUCUCAUCAAAAAUUUAAAAAUACUGAACAGUUUGGAGGAUAUUGAUCCAGACCGCUUCUUCAAAAGGUCAGAUGUAACAUAAACAAGGAGCAACAGUUUCAAGCUCAACAAGUCACAAUGUAGUUUUUCACCCAUAGGGUUAUAAACCCAUGGAAUCUCUUACCUGCAGAAGCCAUAAAUGCCAAAACACUGCUGAUUUUAAAAAUCCAGCUCGAUAAACUCAUCAGGACAAAUGGGGAAACAUUUGACAAGCAAUCAGCAUCCUGUCCCUCAUCGAGGCCACUGAUGUUCGUCCUUCAGAUGCAAAGAUGACCAUGACUUCAGUAUAUCAGGUUGGUGGCUGUGUGCCAGAUGAUGGAGGAUGAGACCAAUUUGGAUACGGAAGGCUCGCCCACACAUGGGACAUUUGUGAGUGGGUGCUGCUGCAGUGGUAUGACGGGGGUAGAAAUAGCCUAAGUUACUCUGUCCCUUUGAAAUGUAUUUUAUUGUCUCAAUAAAUGUACUUGAAGUUGCUGCAGAGGUGGAGAUUGCCCUAGCUUUGCGUGCAGUGCGUUUCCUCUGGGCCUCUGCAGUCCGUUUAUUUUCUGCUGCACGGGACCCCUGUGGUGACUUUGCUUUUCCAAGUUGGACGGUCCUGAAAAGCGACUCCUAAGUAUUGGUGUUGAUGUCCAAGCCUUUGAGGGUUACCUUGAGGCAGUCCUCGAGGCCACUAGUGAGAUUGUGGCCCCUCAAUUAAAUUCAGGUAAAUGAGGUGCUGUGGCUGAGGUACACUGCCCUACAGAGUAGUGGGAGUAUGUAAGUGACAUUAUCAAAAGAAGGUACCCAGCGUGAUAGACUACUGAGCACCAUAUGUCACAGAACAGUCAAUAGGUUCUAAAUAUAAUUCAGGAUGCAAACAUGUGCAAAAAAGAUAGGAUGAUUGAAGUCGAAGUUACUGGAAUUACCAUGGAUUUUACCUGAAGGCCACCAUCUAUUUAGUGACACAACAGGGACAGGAAACCAGUGGCUUGUCAAAGGUACCCCCAUUUUUCCUCCAACUAGAUUUUGAACUACAGUAAUGCCUUGUCAUCAACUCAUGUUAUGGAACAUUGGAAAAGCAAGAAUUAUGAUCAACCUGAAAAUCAAGACAUUCUAUGAGGAGGUGUGCAACUGGGAGUGGAAUAAUGCAGUUUGAAUAAUAAGACGCAGGUCUUUGUACCAUUAAGUACAGUACCGUAUACAGUACCAUGAGCGAGAGUUAAAUGUGCGAGACUAAUGAGGUCUAGCUAGAGCAGUUUCCCACCUAUUACAGUGUGUGGUAGGAGGAAGGCCAUAGAAAAAUGUAGCAUUUGAUAGUAUGUGGUUCAUUAGUCAUAUUACUAAACCAUCUCUCUCUCUCCCAGUUAAUUGUAGAUUGUAUUUUGAAUGAUAGGGUAGAAAUCAAAGUAAGGAGUUGAUUUUUAGAGAUAGCACGGAUACAAACAGCAUCAGCAGCAGCGAUAUCCAUGAGGUCAUUAGAUGCAACAUCAAUUGGCUACAGACUCUGCAAAAUUUGAAUGUCUUAUACUUAGCUGCAUAAAAGCAGCAAUGCACUGUGAGGCUUGCUGUACUGACCAAGAGAACCUUAGUGCUUUGUGGGUUUUUGAACGUUGGGGGCAUAAUAGCAUUCUAAUUGAAGGUAUAGUAACUAAUUUAGGUUACAGUAAUGGUAAUAUUGCAAAUAAUUAUAGUAAAAAUAAUGGCUGUAUUAUUCUGACAAGGUUUUGGCUGAGGGUGAAACUUGAUAGGUAUUCAAUGCUAAUAAUUGUUUACAGUAGUUAUAAUUGUUACUAUUAAAAUUAAAAAUAAUGAUAAUACACUAAAUACUGUAACACUUGAUAAUCUUAGUACCUGUAUAUAUUUUUCAAUAGCCUGAACAUUCCUUUGCCAGUUUAUGAUUGAGCUAACCUUUGCAAUACUGUACUCUAUUCAUGUGGUUUUACAUACAUUAUCUUUGAAUAAGCAUAUUAAAGGCAUAAUUUGAAGCUAAAUUAUUGUAUAAUUAACCCUCCUGGCAAUUAAAAUUAAAGAAUUACAAUUACUGAGAAUUUGUUUCUGGAAAGGGUAAUCAAUAUAGACCAAGGCUUUCAAAUACAUUAAUGUCACUAAGGUUUUUGAUACUGUUGACUACCACACAAAACACUGCCCCAGAAACUAUAAGCAUAUGUUAUUUGAUAAAAUACAGUUCACACACACACUACAAUGAAUUGACCUGAACUUAAUAAAAUCAUACUGGAAUAGAGCAGUCCAGCAUGCUGCAAGGAUCGUCAGGUUAGUAUGUUCCUUAAAAAAAAAAAAAAAAAAAAAAAAAGUCUAGUCCUUUAUUGUAUAGUUAGUACAUACAUUGGCAAAGCUGUCAGUCUGAAAUAUAUUGUGUGUACUACACCCCGUGUUCUUUUCUAUAUAUUUAAGGAUUUGUAAAGUAUUAUUAAAGGCUCUCAUAAUUUAUCUCCAGGAUGAAAAAGGAGGCUGUAUUAAUUUAUAAACCAGAGUUGCUUAGAUGUACAAGGUAGUAUCCAUCCCAUUUGUUCUAACAUACCAUAGGGCAUACCAGUAGGGUCAAGCAGUAAGGUUGUGGGGGUGACGAGCAUUAUUACUGCAAUGCACUGUUAGUUUAACUUUCGUGAUAUGAAUACUGUAUUAAUAAUUGCCAAUGUUUCCUGACCAUUGCAUGACCCUUAGAAUAUCUUACUGGAUAAAGAAAACCAAAACAAAAUUCUUGUCCCAUUUUAUAGUAGUGUGUAGUAAAGAGCACUGCAUUCCAAAUUUAGAACUACCAAUAUGUUUCUUUAGUAGUAGUUCAAAUUUAUACAUUUGUAGUAAAAUCCCAAAUACAAAAUAGUAUUUACAAUCACAUUCUAGUAAGAAAGCAAAAUGCUGACUGAAACAGCUGUGAAAAUAAGCUACUGUUUAUAUACAGUAUACUGUAUGUAUAAGUACUGUAUGAUUGUGUAUGUGUAUACAGUACAGUAUUAUAUACUAUACUAUACAGUGAGACACUCAAAAAUUCAGAACUCAGUACAAUGGAAAACCCCAGAAAUCCAAAAAGAUUUUGCUACCAGAAAUAUGCAAAUUCAGACAAAAUUUUGCCAUACUUUGCAGUAUAGUAUACAGUACAAUAUUGUACUGUAUAGGGAAAUCUGGAUCAACUCUUAUCUUUAACAUUUGUUGAUCUUAUUUUUUCUUUUUUACUCCUGUAUUCUAUUAUCUUUAUGGUAAAUAUUACUCAAAAAUAGCAAAGUUAUAAUUUACUGUAGUUAAACUGUAUUAAAAAUAAUAACACAGCAUAUUGUGACUGGCUCAGUUCUAGCACACAGUGUGGACCUGUCCCAGCCAUGCACAUAGUAUGGGCCUGACCCAGCCCCACACACACACACAGUAUGGACCUGACCCAGCCACACACAUGGUGUGAACCUGUCCCAGCCAUGCGCACUUUGCUCUAUUUGUAUGGUUGACCUUCUAUUACUCAGCAAAUAUUCAUUAAUUUUUCUUUGGAUACUCUCUUCAUCUGUGAGUAGAAAAUAUGUCUGCCAGCAAGAGAAGUCUGGUUAGACCAGGCAAAAGUAAGAGAUGUAUGUUAACAUUGUAAGGACAAACGUACUAAAAGUGAUUUUGACUGGGGAGUGAGACCACCCUUGGAGUAUGGUAUUGGCAUUAGCAAACAUUCUGAAAUGUAAAGCAAGGUUUUCAAGAGAUUGUUGCAAGGACAGAGUUCUGACGUCAAAGACAAUGAUAUAAUGGAACUCAGUGGCUGAAAUUCGACGAGUUAAAGCACGAAAUCCACAUUAUUAAAUGGAGUCUUGAAAAAGAUAAGUACAAAGUUAUGAUUUUAAUAAAUUUUCAAUAACUCUACCUUUUAUGAUGUGUAUACAAUGCUGUUUAAAUAUUUAAAAAUAUAGAUAUGUUUUGUAUGACAAUGUCAAAAACAAAAGAAAAUAAAUAUAAAUUGUGAA